UUCAUGGCCACACCCAUUGUUCAAUGCAAUCAAAGUCCCGGCCGCCGGGAACAUUUGGAAACAAAGGAACAGAUGCUACUUUGACAAGAUUGUUGCAUCCUUGUAUGAUUGGAAAAGAGCACUCAAAGCUGACUUGAAAAAUCUCAAAUUCAGAGUUAAUCCUGAAUUGGUCUCCUUUCUUGAUAGCUUCAUCCCAAACCUAUCUCUGUAAAUCAUAGUUGCUUUCUUUUUAUUUGCUUCUUGGCCAUGUAAUUACCCAGUACUUUAUUUUGAGUAAUAUAUAACAGUAGGAGACUCCUGUUGUUUUCAAGGUUCAAAAAAAUAAUAAUUCCUGCAAAAUAUCAGGAAUGUUGUUUUUAGCUUGAUUCCCAUGAUAUUUGAGUAAGUAUAAUAAAAACUCAGUUAGCCUCUUCACGCUCAUUCCCCUCGCUCACCCACUCCACCAAAUCCCUAGGCCGCGGCGGCGACGCACCUCCCCCUCACUCGCGUCGGCGAAUCAACCGCGUCGCCGCCCUUCUCCUCAGGCGUCGCCGCCGGGCCUUCUCGUCUGCGUCGCCUCUCCCUCUCGCCCGCAUCCUCUGCGCCACAGUCGAGCCAAAGUUGGAUAUUUUAGCGAGGUCGAGUAGGAGCGUGAGAAGCGCGGGCACGGCGGCCUUGUCCUGCUCGAGGAAGGCGGCGACGGAUGCUAGCGCUCCUCGCCGCCAUCGACCUGCAAGGAGGAGUGCCUUGUUGGACGCUUCCAUCUCCGAUGCUGCUGGUACUCCUCCGCCGCUACGAGUGCCCCGUCACCUGCGCCCAGAUGUACUGUGGUCAAGAACUGCUCUCUGCCGCGGGAGUAUAUUGGAAAGGCUGCUGCUGCUGCCACUACCAGCCGAUUCGGGCAUGAGCACAUUCUUGGAGUGGAUCUGCAUUUCAGAAAGUUAACAAGUGGGAGUACAUGGAGUACUACAUUUUAAGUCGAGGAGAAGAUGGUGCCUGCUCUGUGAUGAUGACACCAGCACCUACGACUUCCUCGACCACCACCACCAUGAUGACGACUUCCUCGAACGUGGUGAGUACUCCUCCAAUGCUUGUACUCUUAUCAAUGUUUACUGCUGUAAUCAUGGAGUAGUUAGCUGCUGUUAUCAUGGCAGGAGUAAUGCACCAUUAGUUGGUAAGAAAUAAUGUCAGUAUGAAACCUCUCGACAGUAACUGUUUUUUUGUGAGGGACAGUACAUGGUUUCAACUUUAUUUGCCCCAUUCCAUGUUCUGAAAUCAUUACCAAAUCAUACGAAGCAUGAUAACAAUGUUCAAGCUGAUUUGGUGAAUCCGUAGAUUACAUCUUACUGUGUGUUCCCAAAAUAUUCAGCAUUGCAAAACAAAGAAAUAUUAAAUACAAGUUUCACUAUGGAUGAUAGUGUGAAACAAUAUAUCAUAUUUUCUUUUUCCUGGGAGCAUCAUGGACCAACUUGUCAAUGUAACCUCGGUUGUAUACUACAUCUACAUCCCUGUCAAUGAACAUGUGCACUAUUGAACUAUCUAUGCAUCUACAUCUCUAUGAAGAUACAUAUACAACUGCAUCUUGGAUGAAUACUAUUGUUAGUUUACUCGCAUGAGCCAUUCAAGGAAAGUAGUCUCUCAGUUCUAGUGUACCUAGAUGUACGAUGAAACGAACUUGUGAACCAAAGCAAUUUGAGUUGACAACCGGACAGAGGAAGCGGGCAAGAGAUGAUUUAUUUAUGGGCGAUGAUGAUUUGCUACAAAUACAUAUACUGCUACCUUCCAUGCAUGUCAGCAUCUGAUGCUACCGCUUGAUUCCCUGAAGAUUGAAGAACCACCCCCUGCCAUUAACAAAUCAUUUCAUAUAAACUACUGUACCUAGCAAUGUAAAAAAUACAAAAAGGAUAAAAUCACUAACCUGUCAUAGAAAAAAUGGCACACUCCUGGCCGUCCUGCAUGUUUUGGCUUCAAUUUCCCUCGCCUUGCAUGUCACUGCGUCCUUAAGAAAAAAAACACAUUGAUAAUUAUAAUUAACUUCGCCUACAACAAAACAGAACCAGCAGAAACUCAUCGCUUUCAUUGUCUUCAAGACCCUCAUUGUCCUCUGAUAAUAUAGUUUGAGAGAAGUCCAUAUUACCGCUCGAACUUGUCUUUGGCUUCACUUUACAAACCUCAGAAUUGUGUUCGUUCAAGUUUCAUCCUUCAACUUUAUAAAUCAUUCAUAAUUAUAAGGGGUCUGCUUCAGUAUACCCACCUUAAGUGAGUCAAUGGUGGAGAUUAAAACUUACCCCUAAGGCACAUAGGACUUGAUGGUCAAUUUAAGUACUAACCGCUUUAUUAAUCGGUGUAUGUAUGGCCCACAUCGACAUUGUACUUUUAACUUAAACAUAACAUAUACUUAGGUAGUUACUUAUCGUCGAAAAAUCUAAUUUAUGAAGGGUAGGAUUUUAGUAUUAUAUAUGAAUGACUCUGCCCGUUUUUCUCUCUCGCCUCACACAUGCCCCCUUCCAGACCAUAUCGCCACCGUCUCAUCAAACCACACCAAGAAGCCAACGUCCCAAUCUACUAACACAUCAAAUCCCACACCAGCACUCACCUCAGUACGACCCAUGACAAAGGACAUGCUCCAUGGCAAGGUAGGACUCCUAGCAGGCUACAACAUGGAGCCGACGAAGAGAGAGAUGAUGACUUGUAGGAGAUGCUCGUUGGCGCAGACCAAGCGAACAACCUGACAUGCAUCUGUGCAGAAUUUAAGUGCAUAUUAGUGCUUGCUCCAAAAUGCUACUAUUCAAAUGGUAAUCGUGUAACCUCGUUUUUAGGAUGUUGGGUUGUGGUUGCUACCUGAUUUUAUUAACCUGACAUGCUAUCACAUAAACACUCAUCGCUUAACAAUUCAAGAUGUUGGACAUGCUGUUAAGUUACUGGUGUUGCUCAAAUAAUAUGUGGCUAGCCUAAUAUGAACCUAGGUUCUAUUUGAUGAUCUAAAAGAUGUUGCUGCACAUACCGUAGUACAUUUACUACACAUUGGAUUUGAAGUACUAUAUUUCAGUUAAUUUAUAAUGUAUGUGCUUCGAUGAGGCAAGUGUACAUCACAACAAGCAGUUGUGUGGCUCAUCACACCAGCUGUAAGCUAUUAGGAACUGAUGGUUAUAAUUUCAGAGAUCUUCAGCUGAAACAUUGUUCAGCCGACAAUAAAAAUACAUAUGCUUGCAGCUACACAUACAUAUCUUCUAAUCCACCAUAGUCCCUCUUUUCUGACUAUGUAAUUACUAAGCCCCCAACCUUCUCUUAUUUUAUUUAUUAGAACAUGCCGAUGUUACAUUAUUCUGAACUUCCCAUCUUAUUUAUUAGAACAUGCUGAUGCCACUGAAAAUUAUGAUUACUAUAUCCGCACAGCCUCAUACCUGGACUACUUGGGUAAUUCUCAUCAACAUUUCGUAUGAAAGGCGCAUCAAGCCCUACCUGAUUCCCCUCGCACGUAUGAUCAGAACCUACAGGGAAGGGAUCAACAAAAAGCCGUAAGCUGUAUACAGAAACAAAGAUGAACACCCAUAAGCAUAAACUGUUUCGUAUGAAAGGCGCAUCGGGCAGUACCAUUUGAAUUUUCUGGUACAUAUGCGCCAUAAACAUGUGUGAGAUUACUCGCCGCGGGCAACGAAGCAGCUUGAUGCACACCCACCCGUAGCAAACUUGUUCCGUCUGAUUUGUUCUUGCCUGGAUCAAUACAAAGCCAAUGAUACAUAGGCAACAAAGUAUGCAGGCAACAUUCUCAGCAUUGAGUAACUAUAUCGUCAACAUUUUCCUUUUCCCUUUUAUCCUCAGCUACCUAAAUACCCAGAUAGAACUCUGCUUGCCCAACAGCUCCACAUGCUCUGACUUCUUCUGUCUUUUUAGCUUCUCCUUGUUCCUCCAGCUCUCGGCUUCUCAACUUCUAAUAUCUUUCUUUCAUCUGUACAUCAUCACAUGUGCGCUAUAGGUGUGCCUAAAGAUGCAUUUUAUUGCCACUAACAAAAUGGUGAGCUAUUCUAAAAAAAGGCACACCAUGAUAAUUAAGGUAAAACAAGGUCGAGUCUCAUGGGCAGUACUACAGACAAAUAGGAGUCCUUGUUUCCUGUAAGAGGUUCAUAUGGAAAGUUAAGGCAGUGAUAAUUAGUAAGACUGACGCUCUGAAUUAAAGCCGAUUGGAUGAGGUAAUUCGUCAAAGAAGUACAAUGCGAAGCUGAAACAAUGCAAGUGAAUUAAAAGAGGGGCUGAUGGGAAUCGAGCUUCAAGCGGCGACAUCCUUCGUGGCAUAUGUAAUACAACCAAUUCAGUUCAAAUAUGUAUUUAUUAUGUUAGCAUGAAGGGUAAAAAGAAAGGGGACAAACUAAUCUUAUGUUUAAGCAUACAAAAAAAAGUAAAAUCUAAAUAGUGAUGUGAUCACUUCCUUUUAAACAGCUGGUACGAUCAGGUCAGCAGAUUGAAAAACUAUAAUAUUUAUAACAAUGGAAUAGAUGGGCUACUACAUUACACACUUAUGUUUCUACUCAUUCAGUUGAGGAAAAUCCAUGAUGCACAAAACAAGAUCAGUUUCAUCCAUCUGAUUGUUAAUGACCACAAAAUGACAUGAUACAAAAGAAAAUAGCAUGUGCAUUUAAUAGAAAGUGCUUGUGCGUUGCUACUGGCAAUAAUGGAGAUAAUUGAAUACCAUGUGAAUUUAACGCAAAAUGAAGGUUCCAACCAAAGAUUCGAAAUACCCAGCACCUCCAUGACAUGAUAAUUUAAAAUGAUAUAUGAGUGAAUAUCACCAAAAGGAGGACCUCCUAUGGUGUAGGAGGCUUAAAUCUGAUAUAUCAAGAUCAAAAUCUUCUCACCAUAAUGGAGAUAACUGAAUACCAUGUGCAUUUAAUAACACAAAAUGAAGGUUCCAACCAAAGAUUCGAAAUAACGAGAACCUCCAUGACAUGAUAAUUUAAAAUAACAUAUGUGAAUGUAUUUGUACUAUAAAGUUAUUCAAUGUGCCAUGUGAUAGGAAAGAGAGAAAAUAUGCCUAGGUAGGUUCUUACUACAACUGUUGCUCCUGCUACUAAUUAGCAGUCACUUCAAUCAAUAGCUAAAAAGUAUUUUAAUGUUUUUCUCUGACCCUGCUCUUGGAUUUGAUUGCAGACUUGAUUAGCCUUACCGAAUCUUAGAGUUGCUUCGCCAAGGCGUGUCGUUUUUCGCCUUCCCAUUGCAUUCAACAAAAUAUUUUCCUAUCACUCCCUUUAGCUGAUGGUUCAUCCCCACAUAAGAUGUACCUGAUGCUCCCUGGAAACCACAUUUGUGUAUCUUCUGUUACAUACAUGAGAUUCUCUAAUGCGUGUUUAGGCAGGAGCUAGCAUAUUAGGAAUGAAACAUACAAGCCCAGUGAACACUGGAUUCACGCACAACCACAGGAAAUCCCUCCAACCUAAACUAACCUGUGAAUCCCGCUUCGGCGAGGCGGGUGAGGAGGAGGGUUACCAGAGGCUGGAGGAAAAUGAGAGCAUGGACUGCGAGCCGAGCAUCCCCAUCGCUGGCGAGCUGAGCAUCCCCAGCCGGUAGCAAGGGACAAGGGAGCAGUAGGCACUGCGUACCUCCAUUAUUAGAGAUUAAAUGUCAUGUCUGGACUGACCUUUCCUUCUUCCUGGGCAGCCAACACUUUGUAGUUGGAAAUAGUAUCAGUUUACACUCCUGAUGAAGUGGUAAAAAUACAUAAUUGAGAAAUAGAUUUACCCUGAUAAUUGCUUGCACUGCACACUUCCUUACAUUUGAAUUUGCAGAUGAUUCUUCAAAUGGGAGAUGUUCCAAGUGAUUACCUGAUGUUUCAGAUAAUGAUCAGGAUGAUUGACAAGGAAGAAAUGUUCCACAAGCUUGCUAACUGAUUCAUCGGGGUCUGGUGAGAAAAGAGGGGAGCUGAACCUGAGGGAGGAAGGCGAUCUCAUGGUGGCUAACGCAGGAGGAACCGGACGACGGGAGCACGGUGGUUGAUGCCUAGGGUUUAGCGCAGGUGGUGGCGGCGUCUCCCCUCAGAGAUCGACGGCGCGGCGUCUCCUCUGGGAGGUCGGCGGCGUGCGAAGGCGAAGGCGUACCUCAGCAGAGGUGUCCCGAUGGCGACCCGGAGGUCCACAACGAUG